rnacentral:rRNA from 1 species
GACGAACGCUGGCGGCGUGCUUAACACAUGCAAGUCGAACGGAAAGGCCCUGCUUUUGUGGGGUGCUCGAGUGGCGAACGGGUGAGUAACACGUGAGUAACCUGCCCUUGACUUUGGGAUAACUUCAGGAAACUGGGGCUAAUACCGGAUAGGAGCUCCUGCUGCAUGGUGGGGGUUGGAAAGUUUCGGCGGUUGGGGAUGGACUCGCGGCUUAUCAGCUUGUUGGUGGGGUAGUGGCUUACCAAGGCUUUGACGGGUAGCCGGCCUGAGAGGGUGACCGGCCACAUUGGGACUGAGAUACGGCCCAGACUCCUACGGGAGGCAGCAGUGGGGAAUAUUGCACAAUGGGCGGAAGCCUGAUGCAGCAACGCCGCGUGCGGGAUGACGGCCUUCGGGUUGUAAACCGCUUUCGCCUGUGACGAAGCGUGAGUGACGGUAAUGGGUAAAGAAGCACCGGCUAACUACGUGCCAGCAGCCGCGGUGAUACGUAGGGUGCGAGCGUUGUCCGGAUUUAUUGGGCGUAAAGGGCUCGUAGGUGGUUGAUCGCGUCGGAAGUGUAAUCUUGGGGCUUAACCCUGAGCGUGCUUUCGAUACGGGUUGACUUGAGGAAGGUAGGGGAGAAUGGAAUUCCUGGUGGAGCGGUGGAAUGCGCAGAUAUCAGGAGGAACACCAGUGGCGAAGGCGGUUCUCUGGGCCUUUCCUGACGCUGAGGAGCGAAAGCGUGGGGAGCGAACAGGCUUAGAUACCCUGGUAGUCCACGCUGUAAACGGUGGGUACUAGGUGUGGGGUCCAUUCCACGGGUUCCGUGCCGUAGCUAACGCUUUAAGUACCCCGCCUGGGGAGUACGGCCGCAAGGCUAAAACUCAAAGGAGUUGACGGGGCCCCGCACAAGCGGCGGAGCAUGCGGAUUAAUUCGAUGCAACGCGUAGAACCUUACCUGGGUUUGACAUGGAUCGGGAGUGCUCAGAGAUGGGUGUGCCUCUUUUGGGGUCGGUUCACAGGUGGUGCAUGCCUGUCGUCAGCUCGUGUCGUGAGAUGUUGGGUUAAGUCCCGCAACGAGCGCAACCCUUGUUCACUGUUGCCAGCACGUUAUGGUGGGGACUCAGUGGAGACCGCCGGGGUCAACUCGGAGGAAGGUGGGGAUGACGUCAAGUCAUCAUGCCCCUUAUGUCCAGGGCUUCACGCAUGCUACAAUGGCUGGUACAGAGAGUGGCGAGCCUGUGAGGGUGAGCGAAUCUCGGAAAGCCGGUCUCAGUUCGGAUUGGGGUCUGCAACUCGACCUCAUGAAGUCGGAGUCGCUAGUAAUCGCAGAUCAGCAACGCUGCGGUGAAUACGUUCCCGGGGCU